rnacentral:tRNA from 1 species
GGGCAUGUAGCUCAGUGGGAGAGCACUGUCUUCACACGGCAGGGGUCGCUGGUUCAAUCCCAGCCAUGCCCACCA